rnacentral:sRNA from 1 species
AGGAGCACCCGCCACUGGCAGCCACUCUCCUGGCCGCCAAACCCCAGCCGGAACUCCGGCCGCAGCCAGCAUGCAGGGCGAAGAGAGCCUCCGGAUCCUGGUGGAGCCCGAAGGGGACAGCUUCCCGCUGAUGGAGAUCAGCACCUGUGAGGCUGAGGCCUCCGAGCAGUGGGACUAUGUCCUCGUGGCCCAUCGUCACACCCAGAAAGACCCCCGGCAGGCGCGGCAGCAACAGUUCCUGGAGGAGCUCAGGAGAAAGGGCUUCCACAUCAAGGUGAUCCGGGACCAGAAACAGGUCUUCUUUGGGAUCCGUGCUGACAACAGUGUCUUUGGCCUGUACCGCACUCUCCUUCUGGAGCCUGAGGGGCCUGCCCCCCACGCCGAGCUGGCCGCACCGACCACCAUCCCGGUCACCACGAGGUGAGAGGCUGCACCCAGAGCCGUGGCCAGGAGAACCCCUUGCCACCCGUGUGCUUGGUCCAGACCGGGCAGAAGACAGUGCCAGGCUCCGGGCGUCACCAAGGCAGGACAGCCGCAUGGUCUCAGGGCAGGGGCUGCAGGUGUGAGACCCACCGGCUGUGUGAGCCUCAGCUUCCCUGUCCCAAUAAAGGAUCAUGGUGGUUCUCAACCCUCAGAGCGUUCUGAGGGCUCCGUGUGGCCGCCUGUGUUCCUGGGGACACAGUCACAGCCAGCCUUAGGGGGUGGGCAGGAUUUACAGAGGCCCAGAGGCCCCUCCUGGACCAAGGCCAGUGUCUCUUGAAGACCCCUCCUCUCCAGGUCCGAUGUCCCUUCCUGGACACUGUCCCUGGCCUCCCAGGCACAGACCCAGAGGCCCGGCAGGGACACCCUCCUCGCUCCCUAAGGCCCUGCUUCUCCCCAAUCCUCCAGCCCAGGAGGGAGCCUCCAAGCCUGGCCCGCCAUGCCCCCAUGACCUGCCCAACCCCGUCUAGGCCCCGCAGGGCUCAGCCAGGGCCUGCUUGGUGGACCGGCCAAGGACACUGCUGGCAUUGGUUACGAGGCAGUGGAGGGCACCCGUGAACAGAGAGCUAUGGGUCUUGGGGAGCCGCGAGGGGGCAUCAAAGGAGGGGAGGUGGCUUGAGGGGGCUGAUGGGAGCAGGCUUGGGGGGGCGCGUGCCUGUGAUGUGCCCUGGGGUGUCCAGGAGCCAUGUCUCUAGGCACAGGGGGAGGCUUGGAGCCCGGCUCUGCCAUUGGACACUUGGCUGUGCUGCUUUGUGGCUGUGUGGCCUUGGGAUGUUCCCUUUCCUGAGCCCCAGUCUCUGCACAGUGGAACAGAACAGCUCCUAGCGUAUAAGGAGGGUGUGUGCGGAUAAAGGCUGGGGUGUGCUCUGGACACAUGGGGCCCGCAGGUGGGAGGUGUGGUUGGAGGUGCGGGCUGUGGUCUGGGCUUCUGGGAGGGACGGGCUGGGAGGAGAGGGAGCCCCCAGCCCAGCCUCUUCCUGGACGCCAUGGGGCAGGCCAGGCCCCGGGAGCACUUUAAGGAGGGUGCGGGGUGGGCUCCCGGGUGAGUUGUGGAUUCUGGGUUCUGGUCAGGGCUGGCAGGCUGGGGGCUCUGCCAGGACAGGGAGGGACCUGGGCCUGGCCAGACCAGAGGGCAGGUUGAGACCUGGAGGCAGGGUCCACUGUGGUCACACGGGGCCACCCUGCUCUGGCUCUUGAGUCUCAGAAUCCGAAUCGUGAACUUCGUUGUCAUGAACAACAAGACCUCGGCUGGUGGUAAGGGCAGGGGUGGGGCACCGACAGGGGCGCUGCGGGCAGGGUUCUCCCAGCACCUCACUCCCCCUGACUCGUGAACCCCUGUGACCCAGAGACCUUCGAGGAUCUGAUGAAGGACGGGGUCUUCGAGGCCAGGUUCCCCCUGCACAAGGUGAGGGGUGGGCCAGCCCGGAGAUGGCCUUGGGGUGGGACCCUGGCAUGGGGGCUCUCACUCUCUGUCACCCGAGCCAGGGGGAGGGACACCUGAAGAAGACCUGGGCGCGGUGGAGACACAUGUUCCGCAAGCAGCCGGUUGAUGAAAUCAGGAACUACUUCGGGGAAAAGGUGGCCCUGUACUUCGUCUGGCUGGGCUGGUACACCUACAUGCUGGUGCCGGCCGCCCUGACGGGCCUCUUAGUUUUUCUGAGCGGAUUCUCGCUGUUUGAGGCCAGCCAGAUCAGCAAGGAGAUCUGUGAGGCCCAUGACAUCCUCAUGUGUCCCCUCGGCGACCACAGCCGCAGGUACCGGCGGCUCUCGGAAACCUGCACUUUUGCCAAGGUUUGUCGCCUCCGGGUCCACCCCGGGGCCUGCGGAAGAUGGGCACGGUGCACCCACCCGAAGGCGGGGAGGUCAAGGCCCGGAGCCCUGCAGAGCUGCUCAGCUUCCCCACAGGGCUGACGGGGAGGCCCAGCCUCAGCCCACCCGCCCCCUUCCCCAGCCCACCCGCCCCCUUCCCCAGCCCACCUGCCCCCUUCCCCAGCUCACCCACCUCCUCUCCGGCCCACCCAUCACCUCCCCAGCUCACCCACCUCUUUGACAACGAUGGCACGGUGAUGUUCGCCAUCUUCAUGGCCCUCUGGGGUGAGUUUUGCCGCAGGACACCUCUGUGGGGCCAGGGGAAGUGCCGGCCCAAGCUCCGAGGCCCACCUGGCGCAGUGCAGUGAUGCCCCUCCUUGCCCCCGCCGCAGCCACGGUGUUCCUGGAGAUCUGGAAGCGGCAGCGCGCCCGCGUGGUCCUGCACUGGGACCUGUACGUGUGGGACGAGGAACAGGAGGAAAUGGCACUUCAGCUCAUUAACUGCCCCGACUACAAGCUCCGGCCAUACCAGCACUCCUACCUACGCAGCACCAUCAUCCUCGUCCUGACCCUGCUCAUGAUCUGCCUCAUGAUCGGCAUGGCCCACAUCCUGGUGGUCUACCGCGUCCUGGCCUCCGAGCUCUUCAGCAGCUCGGCCGUGCCCUUCCUGGAGGAGCAGGUGACCACGGCAGUGGUGGUGACCGGAGCCCUGGUGCACUAUGUGACCAUCGUCAUCAUGACCAAGGUGGGGCCGGGAGCGGGGCAGGCCCAAGCUGGGGGGUCCACCGGAGCCCCAGUGAGCACAUUCGGUGCCCUCCUCCGCAGAUCAACAGGCGCGUGGCCCUGAAGCUUUGUGACUUCGAGAUGCCCAGGACCUUCUCGGAGCGAGAGAGCAGGUUCACCAUCCGCUUCUUCACGCUGCAGUUCUUCACCCAUUUCUCGUCUCUCAUCUACAUCGCCUUCAUCCUGGGCAGGAUCAACGGCCACCCCGGGAAGUCCACGCGCCUGGCGGGCUUGUGGAAGCUGGAAGAGUGCCACGCCAGCGGCUGCAUGAUGGACCUCUUCGUGCAGAUGGCCAUCAUCAUGGGCCUGAAGCAGACGCUCAGCAACUGUGUCGAGUACCUGGUCCCGUGGGUGACCCACAAGUGCCGCUCUCUGCGGGCCUCCGAAUCCGGGCACCUGCCCCGGGACCCCGAGCUCAGGGACUGGCGGCGCAACUACCUUCUGAACCCUGUCAACACCUUCAGCCUGUUCGACGAGUUCAUGGAGAUGAGUGCGUGGGCGCUGCGGGGCGGGGGUUCGCGGAAACGAAUGCGGGGCGGGGGUCCACGGACGUGAAUGCGGGGCGCCGGCGAGCCUGACCCCCACCCCGCAGUGAUCCAGUACGGCUUCACCACCAUCUUCGUGGCCGCCUUCCCGCUGGCGCCGCUGCUCGCGCUCUUCAGCAACCUCGUGGAGAUCCGCCUGGACGCCAUCAAGAUGGUCUGGCUGCAGCGGCGCCUGGUGCCGCGCAAGGCCAAGGACAUCGGUCAGGCCCGGCGGGCGCAGGAGGGGCGGGAACCGGGCGGCCUCAGGCCUGUGGGCUUCCCGCUGGCCAGGCCGGCUCACCUGGAAAGAAUAAUCUCUCCGAUCUCACGCCGCGGACAGUCCCCAGCCCUUCUCCGACGGCCUCGGAUGCGGGUUGAGCCUGGGUGGGAGGGUCCCAGGAGUGGGCGGGGCCGGGCGCUUUGUAGGCUCCUCCCACAAACCGUCAGGCUCUUAGAGGGGCUUGACGCCCCCAAGGCGGAGCCAGGUUCUGCCAGUGGCUGGGGCAGGAACAGAGCAGCCGGCCUCUGUCCCAAGACUGGCCACGCUGAGACGGACAGGCAGCAGGGGAGCGACGGGGGCUGUGGCGCUGGAUGUGGGGAAAGGGAGAGUGGUGUUAGGGAGGCCCCCAGUCUAGGGCCCAGGUUACAAGGUCUUACCCUGGGGUGGGAACCCAGGAGGUGGAGUGGCUGGGGGGCAGCUGAGAAGUUCAGGAAGAUGGAGGGAUGAGGAUUCCCAGGUCCCUCCCUGUCCAUGUCAGGGUGAGGGGUGCAGGAGCGCGGAGGCCAUGCUCUGCCAUGGCUGGGGACUUCCUUGUGAAUACUGUAGCCCUAGGGCUGCAAGGGGACACCAUGCACAGAGACAUGGCAGGCCCCAUGUUGGCUGGGGGUGGGGGUGGGGGCAGAACCAGCCGAGGGAGGCUGAGUCAGACCACUUGCCCACUGCUCUGGUGCAGGGACCUGGCUGCAGGUGCUGGAGACCAUCGGUGUGCUGGCGGUCAUUGCCAACGGGAUGGUCAUUGCCUUCACAUCUGAGUUCAUCCCCCGAGUGGUCUACAAGUACCGCUAUAGCCCAUGCCUGAAAGAAGGCAACUCUACCGUCGACUGCCUCAAGGGCUACGUCAACCACAGCCUGUCCGUCUUCCACACCAAGGACUUCCAGGACCCUGAUGGGAUUGAGGCCUCAGAAAACGUGACUCUGUGCAGGUUUGGAACUCCCCAUCCCCCAAGAAUGCCCUCUGAACUCCUGACCCCUGACCUCAGGUACUUCCUUACCCCAGAUACAGGGACUACCGCAAUCCCCCCGAUUACAACCUCUCGGAGCAGUUCUGGUUCCUCCUGGCCAUCCGCCUGGCCUUCGUCAUCCUCUUUGAGCACGUAGCCUUGUGCAUCAAGCUCAUUGCCUCCUGGUUCGUGCCCGACAUCCCUCAGUCGGUGAAGAACAAGGUUCUGGAGGUGAAGUACCAGAGGCUGCGUGAGAAGAUGUGGCAUGGAAGGCAGAGGCUGGGCGGGGUGGGGGCAGGCUCUCGGCCCCCGAUGCCUGCCCAUCCCACCCCAGCCUCCAUCUUCAGUGCCAGGAGCACAGACGUGUAGGGCCAGAGCCCGUCCAGAGGCCACCAGGAGCUGAGACAGUGCCACCACCAGCACCUCCCACAAGCCCACUGCUGUGUGUGUUGAGGGGUGCUGUGAGAAGGCUGUGCUCAUGGGGGGCCGCAGGAGUCCCCUGUAUGUUCAGGGCUGUGAGCUGCCGCCCUAUUCCGCCUGCUCCAUCUUUGUGGGGGCUCUCAGGCUUGGCACAGCCCUGACUUGAACUCUGGGUGACCCCUGGCACCCACAGAACGGGGAGUGAGGACUCCUCAGGCAGCCACAAGGCAGGAAAACUGGCGCAAGUUUCCUGGGCCUCCCUCUGACUUCUGGGCGCCAGAUCCUGCCGUGCCCCCAUCCUGGCUGUUGGGGGUGUCCUGGGCCCACCUCGCUGGCCUGUUCCCUUCGGCCAGCCUCAGUUUCUGUAAUAAAAUUAAACCUGCC